GACAGAGGGUGCAAACGUUGUUCGGAAUUACUGGGCGUAAAGAGCUCGUAGGUGGUUUGUCGCGUUGUUCGUGAAAACUCACAGCUUAACUGUGGGCGUGCGGGCGAUACGGGCAGACUUGAGUACUGCAGGGGAGACUGGAAUUCCUGGUGUAGCGGUGGAAUGCGCAGAUAUCAGGAGGAACACCGGUGGCGAAGGCGGGUCUCUGGGCCGAUACUGACGCUGAGGAGCGAAAGCGUGGGGAGCGAACAGG
rnacentral:rRNA from 1 species